GAUGUAGCUCAGUGGUAAAGUGCUCCUGGGUUCAAUACCAAAAACCCCCACCCUAGGAAUUUAAGCUUUAUUACCUAUGUUUUUGACUAUAGCCUUUGUUUUAUGAAUGUCCCAUUCUUUUUUAAAAAUAUUUUUUAGUUAUAGAUGGACACCAUGCCUUUAUUUUAUUUAUUUAUUUUUAUGUGAUGCUAAAGAUCAAACCCAGGGCCUCACAUGUGCUAGGCAAGCGCUCUAUUACUGAGCCACAGCCCCAGCUCUCAAUCUGUCCCAUUCUUGUAACUCUUUCUCCUACUACCAUCUGUUUGACCUCAUCCAGGUCUUCAAUUGCUGAAUAUAUUCAUAUUCUCCUGACUUUUCUUCUUUUUUUCUGUUACUGGGGAUAAAAUCCAAAGGUAUUUUACCCCUGAGCUACAUCUUCAGCCCUUUUUCACUUAUUUUGAGACAGGAUCUUGCUACAUUGCUCAGGCUGACCUUGAACUUGUGAUACUUCUGGGUCACUGGAAUUAGUGUACACCACCACACCUGGCCCAUAUUGCAUUUAGUAAGUACCCUAUUUUACUCUUUCUUCUUUCCCCAUAUGGUAAGUUCUCAGAUCUUUUAUUUUAAUUUUUAAUUUUUGUUAUUUGUUUUUUGCACUGGGGAAUGUAACCAGGGGUGCUUUACCACUGAGCCUCAUCCUUUUUGUUUUUUAUUUUGAAACAGGUCUCCCUAAGUUACCUUGCUAUGUUGAUGAGACUGGCCUUGAACUUGCGAUCCUCCUGCCUCAGCCUCCCAAGUUGCUUGGAUUACAGGCAAGGAUCCCUGUGUACAGCAGACAUUAUCUUUAUUUUUUUAAAUUAAUUUUAAUUUAGAAAUAUUUAUUAUUAUAUUAUAAUAAAUAAAUAUUAAAUAAUAUUUCUUUAUUAUUGUUAUUAUUUUGGUACCAGGGAUGAACCCAAGGGUGCUUAACCACUGAGCCACAUCCCCAGUCCUUUCUUUUUUUGCAUUUUAUUUAGAGACAGGGUUUCACUCUGUUGCUUAGUGCCUCACUAAGUUUCUGGGGCUGGCUUUGAUC
rnacentral:lncRNA from 1 species